AGUGAACGCUGGCGGUAGGCCUAACACAUGCAAGUCGAACGGCAGCACAGUAAGAGCUUGCUCUUACGGGUGGCGAGUGGCGGACGGGUGAGGAAUACAUCGGAAUCUACUUUUUCGUGGGGGAUAACGUAGGGAAACUUACGCUAAUACCGCAUACGACCUACGGGUGAAAGCAGGGGAUCUUCGGACCUUGCGCGAUUGAAUGAGCCGAUGUCGGAUUAGCUAGUUGGCGGGGUAAAGGCCCACCAAGGCGACGAUCCGUAGCUGGUCUGAGAGGAUGGCCAGCCACACUGGAACUGAGACACGGUCCAGACUCCUACGGGAGGCAGCAGUGGGGAAUAUUGGACAAUGGGCGCAAGCCUGAUCCAGCCAUACCGCGUGGGUGAAGAAGGCCUUCGGGUUGUAAAGCCCUUUUGUUGGGAAAGAAAAGCAGCAGGUUAAUACCCCGCUGUUCUGACGGUACCCAAAGAAUAAGCACCGGCUAACUUCGUG
rnacentral:rRNA from 1 species